CCCUUGCUCCACUACCUCUUGUCACUGGCUCAUUUGUUCUCUCCUGGUGCAACCUCAAGUUUGAAUUGAUUACUGCCUGAAAUCCGGGAGAGGGGACUGAGGGAGCUCGCAGUUUCCUUCCGUCUGCCUCAGUGGGACUCCGGCGGCAGCAAUUGCAAGUGUAUGAGAUAGAAGUCUGUGGUGUCCAGUCCUGCUUUUUAAGCACAGAAAAGGUCAGGGAUUCAAGAAAAAAAUCCCUGUCCAAAAGGCGAGUGGGCAAUUGGCUGGAGUGACCUUUGUGGUGUUUUGGAAGAACUUGGCGGUGACAAGAAGCUAUGAAUACCUAUCAGAAAUUCUCGAGACAGUCUUUGCAAGAGCACAAUGAAGAUCAUCUUCCACAACAAGUCUACUUCUGUAUUUAGACUUGUUAACCAACAAGCUGGAAAAUGUUUCACAAAGAUAUGUUGUUGGAACUGGAAGAAGAAGGCUCAACAGUCUCAAACAGAACAGGACAUGACUGCAAACACUUAAUCCAGAAUUUUGUAACUGGCAUUGUAGAGAAAUCAGUUCUCGCUGCAUCGUUGUUAAUAAGUUCAAUCAACCCCUCUUGUGCUGUCUCAGGAACAUCUUCAACUUGGACUGUGAAUGGGCUUCUGGCAAGUGCAAAUGGGGUGUCAGGUAGAUUUGGAAAGUACGAUGAAAUUUCGUCUGCAAGCAUGUGCAAGUGUUCUUUCACAGAAAUUAUCAUCGUAAUCCUUUUGUCUGGUUCAAUGUCAUGUUCCUCA